GGCGCCGUGGCUUAGUUGGUUAAAGCGCCUGUCUAGUAAACAGGAGAUCACGAGUUCGGAAUCUCGUCGGGGCCU